UUAGAGUUUGAUCCUGGCUCAGGAUGAACGCUAGCGGGAGGCUUAACACAUGCAAGUCGAGGGGCAGCACGAUGUAGCAAUACGUUGGUGGCGACCGGCGCACGGGUGAGUAACACGUAUGCAACCUACCCUGUACAGGGGGAUAACCCGGAGAAAUUCGGACUAAUACCGCAUAAUGAUAUUUGAGGGCAUCCUUAGAUAUUUAAAGCUUCGGUGGUACGGGAUGGGCAUGCGGAACAUUAGCUAGUUGGCAGGGUAAUGGCCUACCAAGGCAAUGAUGUUUAGGGGACCUGAGAGGGUGAUCCCCCACACUGGUACUGAGACACGGACCAGACUCCUACGGGAGGCAGCAGUGAGGAAUAUUGGUCAAUGGGCGGAAGCCUGAACCAGCCAUCCCGCGUGCAGGAAGACGGCCCUAUGGGUUGUAAACUGCUUUUCCAGGGGGCGAAACUUUCCGAUGUAUCGGGAUUUGACGGUACCCUGGGAAUAAGCAUCGGCUAACUCCGUGCCAGCAGCCGCGGUAAUACGGAGGAUGCGAGCGUUAUCCGGAUUUAUUGGGUUUAAAGGGUGCGUAGGCGGAUCGAUAAGUCAGUGGUGAAACCCUGCAGCUUAACUGUAGACUUGCCGUUGAUACUGUUGGUCUUGAGUGUGGUCAAGGUAGGCGGAAUGUGUAAUGUAGCGGUGAAAUGCUUAGAUAUUACACAGAACACCGAUUGCGAAGGCAGCUUACUGGGCCAUUACUGACGCUGAUGCACGAAAGCGUGGGGAUCGAACAGGAUUAGAUACCCUGGUAGUCCACGCCGUAAACGAUGACCACUCGCUGUUGGCGAUACACAGUCAGCGGUUAAGCAAAAGCAUUAAGUGAUCCACCUGGGGAGUACGGCCGCAAGGCUGAAACUCAAAGGAAUUGACGGGGGCCCGCACAAGCAGCGGAGCGUGUGGUUUAAUUCGAUGCUACACGAAGAACCUUACCAGGGCUUGACAUGGAAGUGGUAGUGAAGCGAAAGCGGAACGACCCUUCGGGGAGCUUACACAGGUGCUGCAUGGCUGUCGUCAGCUCGUGUCGUGAGAUGUUCGGUUAAGUCCGCUAACGAGCGCAACCCUCGCCGUGUGUUACAAG
rnacentral:rRNA from 1 species